rnacentral:lncRNA from 1 species
GUCAGAGCUGGGCGGGGCAGCCGGGUCGUAGAGGCGGGCGCCAGUCGCGGUCGGUGGAGAGGGAUGAGGAUGUAGGAGGGACGGACGUGGCGGAAGCCGCGGGGACUGCGGGGGCGGAGUGCCUCUGGGGAGCCAGGGAGGCCUUUCCAGAGGCUCCUGGGGGAAGAAGAGGCGAAGCGAGAGUCCCCGGGGAAGCCCUACUCCACCCCCAGCCGGAGCCUGGGUUGUGCCUGCACGGACCAGAGCCCACAGUGCGAGUUGCUGUAGGCAACCAGCUAGGGUGGCCAACUUCUCCCGGUUGGCCCGAGAUGUUCUGGUUUUGGGACCACAGCGUCCCAGGCCUCCAGCCCACCACAGUGACCAUAUUGUGCGCCCCCUGCCCAUCUUCUCCCGCAGCUUCCCUAGAUUAGGCUUGGGAGGCAAGGGGAGGCCUCCUGACUUUUCUCACUGCCUUCGUUAAUAUAAAGAUGAAGGCACACUCCACAACUUCCUUCUGGCCAGGCCCAGACAUGUCUGUCCUUGUGAGAUAAAAGCUUCCAUGGGAGCCUUCCUUCCUAAUCAAGUCUCGUGGUGGAACAUCUGACCCUUUUCAAGAGGAAGGAUGAAAACUCUACAUAGGAACACGAUGUGAAUGGAAGAAACCUGUCAUUGAUCUCUAUGAAGCACCAGAAUUAUCAGUGAAGAAUAUAUUAAAUGGCUCACGGGCUACUGUAAAGCAUAUUUCUAUCGCUUGAGAGUAAAACUGCUAGAACCAGUUCCUGUUUCUACAACAAGGUGUUCCUUUAGAGUCAAUGAGAACACACAAAACCUACAAAUUCAUGCAGGGGACAUCCUGAAGUUCUUGAAAAAGAAGAAACCUGAAGAUGCCUUCUGUGUUGUGGGAAUAACAAUGAUUGAUCUUUACCCAAGAGACUUGUGGAAUUUUGUCUUUGGACAGGCCUCUUUGACAGAUGGCACUGGUGAGGUGGAUUGAUGAUGAAUCUUCUGGCACACCUGGAGCAACUCCAGAACACAGUCGUGAGGAUAAUGGGAAUUUACUGAAACCCGUGGAAGGAAGCCUUUAAGGAAUGGAAAGAGUGGAUAAUAAAAUGCCUGACUGUUCUCCAAAAAUAAGGACCUUCAAAUAGGAGUGAUUGAAAUAAAUGACUACUUGCAUGUUAUGCUUUCAUUUGGGUGGAAUACUUCAUCAGAAUAAACUAUUGAUCUUGUGCUGUGUCAAAGUAACAGACUAGAACCUUCUUUCAAGUACCUGAAUUGAAAUGAAACUCAUUUUGAAUAAUAAAAACUCUA